rnacentral:rRNA from 1 species
AACGCGAAGAACCUUACCCAGGCUUGACAUGCAGUGGACGUUGGCAGAGAUGCCAAUUCCCUUCGGGGCCGCUGCACAGGUGCUGCAUGGCUGUCGUCAGCUCGUGCCGUGAGGUGUUGGGUUAAGUCCCGCAACGAGCGCAACCCUUAUCGUUAGUUGCCAACAGGUAAAGCUGGGAACUCUAGCGAGACUGCCUGGGUUAACCAGGAGGAAGGUGAGGAUGACGUCAAGUCCGCAUGGCCCUUAUGUCUGGGGCUACACACGUGCUACAAUGGCCGGUACAGAAGGCAGCGAAACCGCGAGGUGAAGCAAAUCCCCAAAGCCGGCCCCAGUUCAGAUUGUAGUCUGCAACUCGACUACAUGAAGACGGAAUUGCUAGUAAUGGCGAGUCAGCAACAUCGCCGUGAAUACGUUCCCGGGUCUUGUCACCC